AUAAAAUGAGCAACUAAAUGUUAAAAAUGUUAAGUCUUCUGUUGAUGGACACUAUUCUCCCAUACUGCAAAGCUCAGAGUAAAUGACGGAGCUGCUCACAGCUGGAAACGAUUAAAACAAAUUAUGAAUGGUGGUGAAACAGCUUCAAGGAAACAAAAAUAACGAAGAACAUUUUUGGCAUUUUAUUCCACUUUGUGCAGUUUUAUUGACGUCAGUUCGCAUAUUGUAUCAUUCCUCUCUAGCAUAAAGAUUAGUACUGUAUACUGUUAGAAAGUCACCUGGAAAUAGAAAACAUCUUAAAUUUCAGAGUAAUUUCCAACUCAGUGCUGUUACAAUCUUUAGUGAAGAAUGAUGCAUUUUUUUUCCUGCCUCCUAUCUCUACACAUGUAGAUUUUCCACUAUAUGUAGGCUUAACAUUUACGUUUCAUAAUUGAACCCAAAAUCAGCAUUUUUCUGUGCUCAGGCAUGCGCACAGUAAGAUUACCUGCAUGCUGAAGGGCAACUUGCAACACAUUAUCUCAUCUUGCAUGUGAGAGAGAAAUUAAAAGCCUGGUAAAAAAAAAAAAAAGAAGAAGGGGGUAGUGGAACGUAAGCGAAAGGGAAAUCGCUGUGUUAAUGAGAGAGAAAACACAUGACAGCGUCAGCGAAUGGCUCAGACCUGUAGUGGGAGGUGACAUCAUAGCAGAUUCCAGACAGCGUGAGAGCAAAGCAGGUGUUACGCCUGUGUCACCGCUCAGAGCUGGAGGAGGAGGAGGGCAGGGAACAAACACACAGCACGACUCAUCUCUGACGAGCAACACAGCAAAGCAGAACCGGGCAGCAGCCUCGCCGUCAGCAUACUACUUCUCUCUGCUUUGAGUUGUGUUUUGAAGAUCAGCUCAUUUUUUGUUUUGGCGGUUCCAGGUGGCUGGAGAACACAAGUAUCACCCUGAGUGCUUUGUGUGCCUGAGCUGCAAGGUGGUGAUUGAGGACAGGGAUACCUACGCCUUAGUCGAGCGAUCGAAACUCUACUGUGGAAAGUGCUACAAACAGGUGAUCCUUACACCCAUGUUGGAAAAACGCUCGCACGACUCGGUCCUAGACUCCCUGCCUCACACGGUGACCCUCAUCUCCAUGCCCUCUGCAGCCAAUGGCAAGAGGGGCCUCUCCGUCUCAGUGUUGAGGGACGUCAACGGCUUAGCGAGUGUUCAAGUCAAAGAGGUCAGAGGGAUGCUUAUUAGUCCGGAGGUGCGAAAUGCCAUCCAUGUUGGCGACAGGAUCCUGGAGAUCAAUGGCCUUCCUGUUGGGACACUGAUGGAGGAGGAGGUGGGUUGUUUUUUGUUUUGUUUUGUU